rnacentral:rRNA from 1 species
UAAGGAUUAUUGGUCAAUGGACGCAAGUCUGAACCAGCCAUGCCGCGUGAAGGAUGAAGGUCCUCUGGAUUGUAAACUUCUUUUAUCUGGGACGAAAACGGGAUUUUUAUCUCAAUUGACGGUACCAGAGGAAUAAGCACCGGCUAACUCCGUGCCAGCAGCCGCGGUAAUACGGAGGGUGCGAGCGUUAUCCGGAUUUACUGGGUUUAAAGGGUGCGUAGGUGGGCUUAUAAGUCAGUGGUGAAAUCUCCGAGCUUAACUUGGAAACUGCCGUUGAUACUAUAGGUCUUGAAUUAUCUGGAGGUAAGCGGAAUAUGUCAUGUAGCGGUGAAAUGCUUAGAUAUGACAUAGAACACCAAUUGCGAAGGCAGCUUACUACAUAUAAAUUGACGCUGAGGCACGAAAGCGUGGGGAUCAAACA